rnacentral:rRNA from 1 species
AUGCCGUCCACCACUGUCCUCUCCCGUGAACCUGAACCAGUAGGCGACACCGCCAAUGGGAAGGCCAAGGGCAAGGCCAUCCCCUACGUGGUCGAGGACUGCCUUGGCGUCAUGAAGCUGCUCAGCGACGGCACGGUGAUCCGCUCCGCGCCGCCGCCGUUCCCUGCCGGGGCGGACUACGACGACGGCCGCGUCGAGUGGAAGGACGCCGUGUACGACGCCCAAUACAACCUCGGCGUGCGCAUCUACAGGCCACGGCUCGGCGAAGCUAACACCAAGUUGCCGGUUCUCGUCUACUUCCACGGCGGGGGCUUCGUCUUCGGCUCCUACUCCUGGCCAAAGAACCACGCCGGCUGCCUCCGCCUCGCCUGCGAGCUGCCCGCCGUCGUGCUCUCCUUCGACUACCGCCUCGCCCCCGAGCACCCUCUCCCCGCCGCCGUGGAGGACUCCGCCACCGCGCUCCGUUGGCUCGCCACCCGCAUCUCCUCUCGGUCCGACCCGUGGCUGGCCGAGGACGCCUGCAUUUUCCUCGGCGGUCAGUCCUCCGGCGCCACCCUCGCGCACCACCUGCUACUCCGCCCACACCCCAUGGUAAAGAUCGCCGGCUGCAUCCUGCUCAUGCCGCCCUUCUUGUCGGAGACGGCAACCCAGUCGGAGCUGGACACGCCGGACACCGCCUUCUUGAGCUGCAAGAUGUCCGACAAGUAUUUCCGGCUGAUGAUGCCGGUGGGGGCGAACAAGGACGACCCGCUGGUUAACCCGUUCGGCCCGGCCAGCCCGAGCUUGGAGACGGCCGACGUCGGGCGCAUGCUCGUGGUGGCCGCCGAGUGCGACAUGGUGAGGGACAAGGACGUCGAGUACGCCGACCGGCUCAAGGCAAUGGGGAAGGACGUAGAGCUGGUCGUGUUCGCCGGGCAGGAGCACGCCUUCUUUGCAACCAAACCCUUCUCUCCGGCGGCAGACCAACUGCUCACGGUGAUCAAGCGAUUCCUUGAUCAGCGAAAAUAA